rnacentral:lncRNA from 1 species
CUGGUAAACCGCAGCGCGUAGGGGAAAAUUUGCCGUUACAAACUUGUUCGGCAUUCAAUUCCGAACAGCUUUUUAGAAAGCUUCGUCAAAAUCGGAUGAAUAGUUCGUCCAAAAUUGAAACGAAAACACUUUUACACGCAAAUCGUCUCGCCUGCCUUCCUCAUUUGGUUCUGGAAAUUUCUGCACGUUUCCGCCACAGUCCCACUUUUCUGUUCCAUUGCCAUAAAAAGCUACAUUCGUACACUCGCAAUUCGGUGUACAACGCAAUGGCCGAAUACGCACUUAACGAAAUGAUUGGCGUGGUCAUACGCUAUAGUCGUUAAUAGCGUGGUCGUACGCUAUUAGCGACUAUAGCGUAUCGAAGUCCAGUCGCAGCGGCCACACCGAUGUUGCCGCUGCGGCUGGAUUUCAUAGGGCUCCCUCGGCACCGACGCUUCGAUUGCUCGAAAUGCUCGAGAUCGGGUGGCCCAUCGACAGCGACUGAUGAGGGCGCCACAACUUUCGUUCUCUCCUAAUAACAGUAAAGGAUCUUCGAGACCGCGCCAUUAUCGCUUUUGCGCAGAAAUUUCUACGGAUAGUCUAAAGGAACUUCGUCCGACAUCGAGGUCGACUGUACUUGGGUGGAAGACAUUUUGAGCGCAUCCUCCGUUGGUUUUUGCUGGUUGAUUAGGCUCUAUCUUUCUAAUUUAUUGUUUCGGUAUUGGUUUGUUAUUUACGUGUCAGAAAUAAAGGUUAGUUCCCAUUAUCCGCCACGGAAAGCGGAACGAGGUUAAACGCGGUGUAAUUCCGCUGGCGGAUUCUCGCUGUAUCGAUAAGCUAUGGUGGGAACGGCGCUAAGAAUCUUG